UGGGGAAUUUUGGACAAUGGGCGAAAGCCUGAUCCAGCAAUGCCGCGUGUGUGAAGAAGGCCUUCGGGUUGUAAAGCACUUUUGUCCGGAAAGAAAUCCUUGGCUCUAAUACAGUCGGGGGAUGACGGUACCGGAAGAAUAAGCACCGGCUAACUACGUGCCAGCAGCCGCGGUAAUACGUAGGGUGCAAGCGUUAAUCGGAAUUACUGGGCGUAAAGCGUGCGCAGGCGGUUUGCUAAGACCGAUGUGAAAUCCCCGGGCUCAACCUGGGAACUGCAUUGGUGACUGGCAGGCUAGAGUAUGGCAGAGGGGGGUUAGAAUUCCACGUGUAGCAGUGAAAUGCGUAGAGAUGUGGAGGAAUACCGAUGGCGAAGGCAGCCCCCUGGGCCAAUACUGACGCUCAUGCACGAAAGCGUGGGGAGCAAACAGGAUUAGAUACCCUGGUAGUCCACGCCCUAAACGAUGUCAACUAGUUGUUGGGGAUUCAUUUCCUUAGUAACGUAGCUAACGCGUGAAGUUGACCGCCUGGGGAGUACGGUCGCAAGAUUAAACUCAAAUGAAUUGACGGGGUCAUAGCUGUUUCCU
rnacentral:rRNA from 1 species